UACAGAGGUCUCAAGCGUUGUUCGGAUUCAUUGGGCGUAAAGGGUGUGUAGGUGGCGCCGUAAGUCGGGCGUGAAAUUUCGGAGCUUAACUCCGAAACUGCAUUCGAUACUGCGGUGCUUGAGGACUGGAGAGGAGACUGGAAUUCAUGGUGUAGCAGUGAAAUGCGUAGAGAUCAGGAGGAAGACCAGUGGCGAAGGCGGGUCUCUGGACAGUUCCUGACACUGAGACACGAAGGCCAGGGGAGCAAACGGG
rnacentral:rRNA from 1 species